GUAGCCAUCUAUCGGCGAUCAGUUCAUGAAUAGAAAUAAUAGAAUUACUGCUACACUGCACGCCAUCUAUCAGUGAUCUGAUACACUAAUCUGUAGUUUUAAAGCCUUCAGUCUUAGCCAGAGAAAACUACCAGUUCACCAGCAAUAAAAUAAAAUAGAAUAAAAAUAAUAAAAUAAAAAUAAAGUGGCUUUCUUAUUUUCCGAGUACGAGAAAGCUAAAGUUCUGAUAAUUUUUUUAUAAAGGUGACACAACAAGAAGGCAUACCAAAUUACCAAUAAAAGAAAGAGUGGUUUGGAAGGAAAACGUCAGCAGUGCCAAAACCCAACAAAAAAAAACAUAGUCAACAUUGAACAAAAUAAUUGGAACUUAUAAUGGUUGAUAAGGCUGAAACCCAUUAUGAUAAUAUUUAAUCAUGCCCGUAUAUAUAGGUGAAUCUGGUAAGACAUUGAAGCCAUUAAAAAUUGUGCUGACAAAUUCUGUUAGAUAACCUUCGUUUUGAAGCCAUACCGCCAUACUAGCGUGAAUAAUAGUUGGCCUGUUUCCAUUUUGCGUAUUCCCUGCUAAAGUCAGGUGAGUCAAGUUCAUUGUUCUCGUUUGGGUUUUCAGUAGGAAGUGUAUUCUGGCGGAAUUCUGAACGUGAUACUGCAUUUGCGCCUAUUAAAAUAGUUAAAAUCGUAAAUCAUCCACCCUUUUUAGGUUAGUUUUCUUACAUCUUUGAAAUAAUAGGUUUUCUGGACGUAACAGCCUCUUAACGCAAUCACGAUUUUAGGGCAAUGUUUCUUGAGAUAUCCGUUGCCUUAGCAUAGAGAUUUCGUCCUAUCUCUUUCCUGAAAGAACUGCACGACUGGCUUGUUUGGAUAAAAGGAGGCAAAUCUGUACAUAAUCAGAAUUAGAACAAAUAAGGUAACUGAUGCAGCAAAAACAGCUAUAGCUACGUAUGGGAUGGUUCAAGUGGAUUCACGGGCAAUUGCAAGCAGCACCAAACGGACCAUUCACAGCAGGGCAAUGGCACUAAACUCAAUGGAGUGCGGAUGAUUUACGGGCCAGGCCGAAAAAUAGGCGUUUAGUACGGAUGGAUGUGACAUCGGAAGGGACCUCAGCGGUUGCGGAUGCUGCGGUAUCGACGGGGACAUCAGGCUGACCGUCGUUAUUCGUAUCGACACCCUUGAAGUUCAGGUUACUGACAAAAUGGCGAAUUGUGUGGAGACGAUUGAGGAGCGAAUUGAGCACAGGCACAAGCUAAAAGGCAGCUAAAUAUCUGUUGACAAACUUUGUACUUUAAAAUGAUCUCAAAAUGGAAAUGUGGAAAGACUUGAGUAAAGGAAGUGCGUUAUACCAAAAA